rnacentral:lncRNA from 1 species
CAGCUCUUGUGUGGUUUCCCUCUCACAUGGGACACAGGACAGAGCCAGCAUGCGGCAAGAGGGGAGUCUGGACAAAGGCUGGUCAUAAAUUACCAAGUGUGUGGAGACACUGCGCUGAAUCACCUCACUUGGUAUGUUCCAGAGAGCUUAUUGUCAUCAUUUCGCUCUAUGGAUUCCAUCUCGCCUGGUUCCCUCUGAACAGCAGCUGUCAUGGCCUCGUUUCUGAGACAAGGUGGCAAAGGGACCCAUGGAUCCAUGCCCUGGGAAGAGAAGAUCUGCCUGCCUUUCCUGGAGGAGACACUCAUGAGCUCUGAACUGGCUUGAAUUUUGAUGAGAACUUACCAUCUUUUGAAGCAUUUUCACCAGACAAGUCCCACAGUAAGAGCAGAGCCA